AGAAACAUAUAGCAAUUCUUUAUGAAGGAGUCAGAAAGCGUGGAGGACUACUGCAUAUACUGCAACCUUAUCAAAUGUGAAAAAGAAAGUGAGGAUUGCACGAUGGUCCAGUGUGAUUCUUGCAAGCGUGGCACAUUACCCUGCAUUACAGAAGG